GACGAACGCUGGCGGCGUGCCUAAUACAUGCAAGUCGAACGCAGUGGGGACGGGUGAGUAACACGUGGGUAACCUCCCAUCAGAGGGGAUAACACUUGGAAACAGGUGCUAAACCGAUACUGAUGGAUGGACCCGCGGUGCAUUAGCUAGUUGGUGAGGUAACGGCUCACCAAGGCCACGAUGCAUAGCCGAUCGGAGAGUGGGAUAGGCCACACUGGGACUGAGACACGGCCCAGACUCCUACGGGAUGCAGCAUGAGGGAAUUUUCGGAAAUGGACGAAAGUCUGACCGAGCAACGCCGCGUGAGUGAAGAAGUUUUUCGGAUCGUAAAACUCUGUUGUUAGAGAAGCGGUAUCUAACCAGAAAGCCACGGCUAACUCCGUGCCAGCAGCCGCGUAAUUC
rnacentral:rRNA from 1 species